CAGCCGCCACGGUAAUACAGAGGGUGCGAGCGUUAAUCGGAUUUACUGGGCGUAAAGCGUGCGUAGGCGGCUAAUUGAGUCGGAUGUGAAAUCCCCGAGCUUAACUUGGGAAUUGCAUUCGAUACUGGUUAGCUAGAGUGUGGGAGAGGAUGGUAGAAUUCCAGGUGUAGCGGUGAAAUGCGUAGAGAUCUGGAGGAAUACCGAUGGCGAAGGCAGCCAUCUGGCCUAACACUGACGCUGAGGUACGAAAGCAUGGGGAGCAAACAGGAUUAGAGACCCCCGUAGUCCCUGUCUCUUAUAC
rnacentral:rRNA from 1 species